AUUGAACGCUGGCGGCAGGCUUAACACAUGCAAGUCGAGCGGGGUGAUGGUGCUUGCACUAUCACUUAGCGGCGGACGGGUGAGUAAUGCUUAGGAAUCUGCCUAUUAGUGGGGGACAACAUCUCGAAAGGGAUGCUAAUACCGCAUACGUCCUACGGGAGAAAGCAGGGGAUCACUUGUGACCUUGCGCUAAUAGAUGAGCCUAAGUCGGAUUAGCUAGUUGGUGGGGUAAAGGCCUACCAAGGCGACGAUCUGUAGCGGGUCUGAGAGGAUGAUCCGCCACACUGGGACUGAGACACGGCCCAGACUCCUACGGGAGGCAGCAGUGGGGAAUAUUGGACAAUGGGGGGAACCCUGAUCCAGCCAUGCCGCGUGUGUGAAGAAGGCCUUAUGGUUGUAAAGCACUCUAAGCGAGGAGGAGGCUCUUUUGGUUAAUACCCAAGAUGAGCGGACGUUACUCGCAGAAUAAGCACCGGCUAACUCUGUGCAGCCGCCGCGGUAA
rnacentral:rRNA from 1 species